rfam:Laetiporus sulphureus 93-53 unplaced genomic scaffold LAESTscaffold_8, whole genome shotgun sequence.
AGCAACAUGGCGCAGCUGGAAGCGCGCGGGGCUCAUAACCCCGAGGUCACUCGAUCGAAACGAGUUGUUGCUA